rnacentral:rRNA from 1 species
GACAGAGGAUGCAAGCGUAUCGGAAUCGAUUGGGCGUAAAGCGUCUGUAGGUGGCUUUUUAAGUCCGCCGUCAAAUCCCAGGGCUCAACCCUGGACAGGCGGUGGAAACUACCAAGCUGGAGUAUGAUAGGGGUAGAGGGAAUUUCCAGUGGAGCGGUGAAAUGCGUAGAUAUUGGAAAGACCACCAAUGGCGAAGGCACUCUACUGGGCCAUUACUGACACUGAGAGACGAAAGCUAGGGGAGCAAAUGGG